CCUACGGGUGGCAGCAGUAGGGAAUAUUGCUCAAUGGGGGAAACCCUGAAGCAGCAACGCCGCGUGGAGGAUGAAGGUUUUAGGAUUGGUAACUCCUUUUUUUAGAGAAGAUAAUGACGGUAUCUCACGAAUAAGCACCGGCUAACGCCGUGCCAGCAGCCGCGGUAAUACGGAGGGUGCAAGCGUUACUCGGAAUCACUGGGCGUAAAGAGUGCGCAGGCGGGCUUGUAAGUCAGAUGUGAAAUCCUGUAGCUUAACUACAGAACUGCAUUUGAAACUAUGAGUCUAGAGUGUAGGAGAGGUAGGUGGAAUUCUUGGUGUAGGGGUAAAAUGCGUAGAUAUCAAGAGGAACACUCAUGGCGAAGGCGACCUACUGGAACAUUACUGACGCUCAUGCACGAAAGCGUGGGGAGCAAACAGGAUUAGAUACCCCAGUAGUC
rnacentral:rRNA from 1 species